UAUGCUGAAGAAAACAACAGACGUUAAGCAUUUGGGGAAGAUAUCAGCAGACACUUUAUCUGUAGUCAAAGCAGAAAUCAGAAUCAGAAUGGAAGUGUUAGGAGGAUUCUCAGUUGCAGAAAGUCCUGCAACGAAUGAAAUCCAGGCAAUGUGUUCCAUGCUGAAGAGUGAUAUUGAGUAUGCUACUUCAAAAAAGUACAAGGAGUUCACAGCAAUUAAAUAUACUGACCAAACUGUGAAUGGAAAAAAUUACAACAUUAGGGUCCAUGUUGGGGAUGAACAAUGUACCGAUCUGCGGGUCUAUAAAUCCUUCUCUUCAGAAUCUUCUCUUGGAUUAAGGGAGUUUAGGAUUGGAUGGAAAAUUCUCUCAGAAAACAGGAGAAUGAACGAUCCACUAUGACCCGACAACUGAAAUCAAUACAAAAGUCAACCAGUCUCUACUUUCUCCAAUAGGCUGUCUCCAGGAAAAGUCAGUAGAAUUGUAUUGGUCUUUGUUCAGAGGUUAUUAAAGUAUCAUUAAUUACCUUGACUGUCAUGGAGAUUGUUUUAUGUUCUCAGCAUUGGAUAUACUGAAUGUUGAAAAGCAAUGUAAAAGAUGUAAAAAAAUAAAUAAAAAAAUCAUAUACGCUGCAGACAUUA